CUCUAUGUUUCUCCCAGCUCUCCGAACCCUGCACUCUGUACAGCCUCUCUCGGCAGUCCCCUGCUCUCCAGCUGCACGGGGUCUGAUGGGCCUUCUGUUAGCUUUUUGUUUGUCCUCUCAUCUAUGGUUUCCCCUAAAGGUUGCCCCUGAACAUCUUCCUUCUGCUGUUCCUUCCCACACACCACCCCCUGGGAGCCAGCUGCAGUGCACUUCAGUGUAUCAGGGCUUUUGCUAGCUUAGGUUCAGAAUAUGCUGUUGUCAAUGUGCCUGUGAUGACAAGCCCAUUCUGAGAAUUUUCUUCCUUCCAUUUAUGUUGGUAGAAUUACAACAAAGAGUGAAUAAGUAAGCAUCUUUUCCACAUCAAUUCUGAUUUUAUUGACCUAAAUGUCUCUUUUCCAAAUAAUGAAUCCUGCUGAUGUAGUUUUUCUCCAUACAGAAGGUGUCUCAACCUUUGGACCACCCCCUUUGUCUUUCUCCUACACCUGUAUCAUUUCUACAGUGAUUUUUCACAUUAUAGAACCUGAACUGUCACCAUAAGAUGGGUAAAUUCACACCAUCUGUACAAUGCCAUCAUUUAAUUUCUGGUUUGGCUUUUAUCCCGUUCCUAUAUACUGGCACAGUCUAUAGGCUAGGUCUCUGCAGUCACUUGGCAGAGCACUGGGGAGCAGAGGGGGCAAUGCUGUCCAAAUGGUCUCUCCCUCCAAUCACAGUUAAUAAAAAUCCUGUCUGACCUGUCCUAAAUUGUACCUGUGUUAUUAUGGGCUCAGAGUCUCCAGAUCACUGACGCUUGACAAAGCUGCAUGUCUUUCUGGCUGGUGUUAACAGUGAACUGAGAGCUUCCCACAGACCUACCAGCAGUGACUCCUAGUUCUCUUUCCUGAAAGAAACCUCCUGGGAGGGACCUUGUCAAAACCCUGUUGGAAACACAAGUGUGCUGCAUUGACAGCACCACUGCAAUCUGUGCUCUCACUGACUUUUUCCAAGGAGCUCAGUGGAUUUAUGAGGAAAGCUGAUGCAGUGGGAAUCUCCAUGAGAUGCUCUUACCUGGCUAGAGUCCACUUUGCUAUUCCUUUCUUGAAGACCUGUGGGCCUCAUUGACUACCUGACAGGCUGCCUGUUUGAGAAAGUUCCCUUAAACCAAUGGAUGAAAGAGCCCUAGGACCUGCGAAGGGCUGGAAGAGCUUCUGUCAGCUGCCAUGGGAUUAGGUCAAACUAUACGGGAGCAGGAAGGAUGGCACUGCUCAAGACACUGGUCCAAAUUUGUACACCUGAUUGAAACUCCACAAAGCCUGAGAACUUACACAAAGAUAAUUCAUUGUUAUACUUAACGGGAGGUUGGUUGUAUUGCAUCAGGUUCCCUUUAGGUUGCAGAGUACUUGGACAAAGCAGAUUCUUACCACACCAACAGGCAUCCUUUAAAAGCCUGGCAAUACUUCUGUAUAAAGAGAGACCACAGCUGCUUGAUUCAGAAAGCAGAUAAAAAAGUAAAUGUAUGAAUAGAGCCAAUAUGGAGUGGAAGAUGAACAAAACAAUAAAUGUAAUAGAAAAUCAA